CUAACAAGUCGGGUAAUCGCUCUUUAUUUAAAGAAUAAAGGGAGGAAAGUCCGAACACUUACUCUCCAUUUAUUGGAGGUUAAAAAGGUAGCGGCUAACAGCCGUCGCUUCGGAUAAAUAUAACUGAAGUAGAGGUGCGAACAGAGACGUGUGAAACCGAAAGGUUGAACAGCCCGUUUUAAGCGGGAUAGUCCUAUAGCAAUAUAGGAGUGAAACGGCUAAAUCCUUACCAGGUGCAAGAACAAAUCCUUUGGCUUUUGUUAAAGGAAAAAAGUAGUUCGCAUGAGCCCUGAAGUAAUUCAGGGCCAAGACAAAUGAUUACUUAAAACAGAAUUCGGCUUAUGGACUUGUUGGGAUA
rnacentral:RNase_P_RNA from 1 species